CCUACGGGUGGCAGCAGUGAGGAAUAUUGGUCAAUGGGCGCGAGCCUGAACCAGCCAAGUCGCGUGAGGGAUGACGGUCCUACGGAUUGUAAACCUCUUUUGCCGGGGAGCAAGCGUUCGUUCGUGAACGCGCGUCGAGAGUACCCGGAGAAAAAGCAUCGGCUAACUCCGUGCCAGCAGCCGCGGUAAUACGGAGGAUGCGAGCGUUAACCGGAUUCAUUGGGUUUAAAGGGUGCGCAGGCGGGCCUUUAAGCCGGCGGUGAAAUCGCGGGGCUCAACCCCGCCGAGCCGUCGGAACUGGGGGCCUGGAGUGCGGCGGAGGCAUGCGGAAUGCGCGGUGUAGCGGUGAAAUGCAUAGAUAUCGCGCAGAACCCCGAUUGCGAAGGCAGCGUGCCGUGCCGCCACUGACGCUGAGGCACGAAAGCGCGGGGAUCGAACAGGAUUAGAUACCCUUGUAGUC
rnacentral:rRNA from 1 species